rnacentral:misc_RNA from 1 species
AAAGUCGUAACAAGGUUUCCGUAGGUGAACCUGCGGAAGGAUCAUUAACACUCAUCUAUACUAUCUUGAUAGUAUAUUUGAUUAUACACAUCAUCCGUGCUCCUUUUCUUUUUCUCACACCUUUCAACCCAUUUCUUUUAUUUCUUUUAUUCUUAAUUUGACUUUUGCUUGCAAAAGAUUCAAAUUAGUUUUGUUAAUUUGAUGAAUACACACAUAUUUUUUAUUGUGUAUGCAUUAAAAGCACAACUCUUAACAAUGGAUAUCUCGGCUCUC